CCCUUAGAUGUUCUGGGCCGCACGCGCGCUACACUGAUGCAUUCAACGAGUUUCUUCCUGGUCCGAGAGGAAUGGGUAACCUUUUGAAAGUGCAUCGUGAUAGGGAUAGACUAUUGCAAUUAUUGGUCUUCAACGAGGAAUUCCUAGUAGACGUAGUUCAUCAGACUGCAUCGAUUACGUCCCUGCCCUUUGUACACACCGCCCGUCGCUUCUACCGAUUGGACGCUGCGGUGAAGACCUGGGAUUGAGAAGGGGGGUUUGGAGGUUUUCGGAUUUCCAGCCCCUCGUCCCGAGAACUCGUCUGAACCCCAUCGUCUAGAGGAAGAAGAAGUCGUAACA
rnacentral:rRNA from 1 species